rnacentral:rRNA from 1 species
CCUACGGGGUGCAGCAGUGAGGAAUAUUGGUCAAUGGACGAGAGUCUGAACCAGCCAAGUAGCGUGAAGGAUGACUGCCCUAUGGGUUGUAAACUUCUUUUAUAUGGGAAUAAAACGUUCCACGUGUGGGAUUUUGUAUGUACCAUAUGAAUAAGGAUCGGCUAACUCCGUGCCAGCAGCCGCGGUAAUACGGAGGAUCCGAGCGUUAUCCGGAUUUAUUGGGUUUAAAGGGAGCGAAGGUGGAUUGUUAAGUCAGUUGUGAAAGUUUGCGGCUCAACCGUAAAAUUGCAGUUGAAACUGGCAGUCUUGAGUACAGUAGAGGUGGGCGGAAUUCGUGGUGUAGCGGUGAAAUGCUUAGAUAUCACGAAGAACUCCGAUUGCGAAGGCAGUUCACUGGACUGCAACUGACACUGAGGCUCGAAAGUGUGGGUAUCAAACAGGAUUAGAUACCCCUGUAGUC